rnacentral:lncRNA from 1 species
UGAUUGUCUUCAGGGAUGUCCACUCAACAUCUCUGUAAUAAGAACGUGAAAGAGUUUCAAAGUGUUGUCACGACAUGAGUCUUGAUUCAGGGUUGUGAUUCACCUGCAAAAAGAAAGCAUAUCAACUUUGCAAAUAAAAGUCUCGGUAUACAAAUCAUAUUGCACCCAUAGUAUCAGGAUACAUAUCGUACUGCGACCCCAGCGUAUCAUUACACUUCUACUAGCUAGUUUUGGUUUGAAUAUCCCACUUCCCCCCCCGAGUAUUAUCCCUGGUCAUGCAACAUGAAAUAAUGUUCAAAGUGGUGUUUUAACCAACUCACCAGGGUUUUACUGGAGUCAUUAUGUUGCAUCUACACUCAUACAAAUUGUGCAUGGUUGCAAAUAAUUACAUUGCGAGUCCUGAGGUAUGAAAAAGUCCCCUUUAAAUUUAAAAAACUAAUCCAAAUUGUGGAUUGCAUGUUAAAUGUAACUGACAUUUCUAUUCUGGUUGGAACUUCACUUAAGGUUCGAAAUCAUUGUUGAUUUUAUUCAGUCUAGCACUGAAAUCCCUAUCUAUAAUAGAAUAAAGGCUUCCGCGCUAGUGCAGUGAUAGGACGUAGUAGUAUGUAUGGAAAUCAACAUGAUCCCGUGAGCAUGCCUCAUGUCGCCAGUCGGGACUCCCAUGUCCGUGCCUUGGACCCAACAAGCUGAGAGUCCCUGGGCUAAAAGAUAAACCCAGGUAAAGCUGUGACUCUCAUUCAUUUGAAUUACAGUUUAUAACAGUUUUUUAUGUUGCUGCAGGUUUCAAUGAUAUGAAGUCCCAGCUCAGUGAUUACCUGAAGAAGUUUGCUGAAAAUGGAAAGGUUGUGAGAGAGGAAGACAUCAAGGAGUUCUUCUCCAAUAUGCAAGCGAGGAAGAGGCAGAAAACAGAGGAGGGCUUUCAGUACAAUUGUAAAUAAAGACCAACUUCACGAUCUAGAUUCUGCUGAAAGUCAAGAUGACCAUGUGAUGACCAUUGGCUAAGACCAUUGAACAAAGAGACAUGUAUACAGUGUUUGGCCCGGAGACAUUGAAGGUGCAUUGGACCAUGUUGUACUCAGUUGGGAUUUUAUGUCAGACUCAGUUUGCUCCUUAUACAGAUUUGUUUUAAGAUUUGCUCACUCAUAAGAUGCCCCCAUAGGGUUUCCUAAAAAAACCUUUUAUUUUACCUACACAAAAUUAAGAUUUUACUAUGAAUUCUGUUUUGAGUUUUACAUCUAAAGGAGAUGAUAAUUCAUGAUUCAUUUGGAUGAAAUUCUAUUACUUUACAGUGUUUAUCUCAGUAUUUUACCCAUGCCCUAAAUAUGAGACUUCUAGUGACGCAGUGUUACCCUUUGGAAUAUCCAUUUUUGAAACAAACACAGUGCUUCCUUAGUCUGGAAACCUGUUCCCUCUGACAUUGUUAUCUGAAACUGAAACCAGACUUCACUCUGACAUAAUAAGAGAUCUGAUAAGAGGGCAUAUUAUGAUGUUUUUUUUUAAUUUUUAUCUUUAAUUUUUUAUAUUUAUUAUAUUGACACAGCUGGCCAAAUUAUAAAUUUGUUGCCUGCGUCAGUUACAAAAAUAUCUCACAAGGUAUAUGUAAAAUUAUUAUUAAGUAUAUAUUUAGCAAUACCAUAAGUUUUAGUUUAUGUGCAUAUGAUAAUUAUUUUAUCAAUUUGUACACAAUGCACCAUCUCUCUUGUAAUCUAAUAAUAUAUGUCGCCUAUGUUUUCAUUUGAAUGUUUGCAUUGCUGCAAGUUGUUGAGCAUUUUAUCGUUACAGUUUCCUCCAACAGAUGUUAUUGCUGCUGUUUUUUUAGAGUUGGCAAUUAGCAAGACUGGUUCUGAUUGUUCCUGUUUUUGGAGCUGUUCACUAUUAUUCAAAUUGUUUGUUCUAAUGAAGCCUAAGAUUUUAUGUCUGUUUUUCUGGAUCCAAACUUUGAAUGAUAAUACCCCAAAACCAUUCAGAUUUAGUCAUUCAUGUGAUAUUUUUUUAAUUCAUUAAAUCAAAAGAAAAAAAAUACUUUGCAAAAUAAUAAAAAAAUUGAAAAUCAUUUACUGAGGCAUUCCAAGAACAAUUGAAUGUAUUGUAUUUCAGAUUGAUCUGUGACUCAAUGAUCAAUGCGAAAGCAAAAAUAAAUUUUGCGUGUGUUUACUAGUUUUUUUUACGAUGAAAAGGUUCUUAACAUAUAUUUUAGUUUCUUUCACAUUUUAACAAUAUUUACAGUAUGCUUUUCUAUAUAGAAACAAACUGAAUUGGCCAGUCCUGAGAGUAUAUUCAAAAUUCUGACAUUAAAAAAAUUACAUUCAUUUUACAUAUUAUGUGAAAUAUUAAGGCGUAAGUUACUUCACUGCAUUUAUGAGAAGUUACCGCUUCAGUCCAAUAUUUGUCAAAUCUACAUGUGUAAAUUAUCAACAUGAAAUAUAUUCUACAUGAAGCAAAUGUUGCAAACGAUUAACAGUUGCUGGAGAUGUUAUCUGUGACCCUGUCUCAAUUUCUUUACUGGCUGUUCAGUGUCAACAUUCCGUCCUACUGCUGUCGAUUCCCCUCUGUAUUAAACAAGCAAUCUGUCAUUUAAAACUUUUCUCCCCUCCCCUCCCCUCCCUCAUACAGAUUUGGGGGCGGUCGGGAAGGCUAGUGGUUAAAGCGUUAGCUUGUCACACCGAAGACCCAGGUUCGAUUCCCGACAUGGGUACAAUCUGUGAAGCCCAUUUCUGGUGUCCCCUGCAGUGAUAUUGCUGGAAUAUUGCUAAAAGUGGCCUAAAUACAUACUCACUCAUUCAUACAGAUUUGAUAUGAUCUUAUCUUUUGCAGAAUCGAUUAUUGUGACCCUUGAAUUUUGGACUGGACUGUACAUGACUUCAAUGUUGCUAAAUGUUUCAUGAAACAUAUUCAUUUAAUAUUGUUUGUUAUUUGAAUAAUAAUUGUCCUAAUUGUGACUGUCCCAGUGAGUACUGUGUUGGGGUGAAGUGUAGUGGAGCUUUAAGGGUGAAUGUGGACAAUAAGUGAUAAUUUCCGUCAUGUUUGAGUCCUGUCAAACUGAUGGAGUUGAUGUUUUUUUAAUGAUUGACCUUUUUACUGUUACUAUAACACCUUGUACAGAUGUUGGGUGUUUUUAUGUUCAGUGAUGGUGCAAGUGACACAUAAAUAAAAUUUACAGUUA